rnacentral:lncRNA from 1 species
GCAUCUGCAUCGUGGCCUCUGGGGAGGGAGGGGUUGGUUUCAGUGGCCGCUGAAGGCAGGCGGGGGUUGGGGGAUGCACACUUGGCUUGCGCCUCUUCACCAGUGGUGGCAAUUUACAUAUCACUCGCAUCCCAGCCCUGGCAGCAGCAGCUCACACCCCACUUGCACUUCAGCCCUGGCAGUGGCAGCCCACGGUGACAGCAGCUGCAGGUGGGGCACCCUGCCUGGUCACUUGAAAGCACGGCAGCCCCACCGGCAGUGGGGUGAUGCUGCUGGUGGCCAUGCCUCAGCCCUGAUGCUGGUGGCGGCAGCCACACACAGGAGAUGUCCGUGGGGUUCUAGGGAGGUGGAGACACAGGUUCCACAGGACAGGGCACAGUGUGUUGGGGGCUGGGCUCUCAAAAUGCUGCUUUGCUGUAGCUGUUUAGGACUCGGGGUGUGCGUGGGACCUGGCGUGAGCUUCCUCUCUGGGGCAGCACCGCGACUGUCUGUAGGCAGCUCCCUGUGUCAGGUUCCCCUCUGGCGACGGUCGAGGGGCUCUCCCAUGGCCAGGGAUGCAGGAGCUCACAGUAGGGGUUUCUCCCUUACCCCUUCCCCACAUCAGGACAUCUCUCUGGGCUCCCAGCCCAUCCUAACCGGGAAGGCUGCCUUGCUCUCCUCUCCCUCCCUGCUGGAGAGGCUUCCCGUCCCUUCUGUGUCCAGCUCACAUGUUCUCCUUCAUAUGAUCUACCUGAAGUGUGGUUGUCUAAUGACGACUUUUGUUCUUUGUGGAGAAGGCAAGUUGAAGAUGCCUCUAGUCAGCCGUCACGGGAGCCCCUCAGAGUGUUUUAACUCUUUGAAGUUUUUAACUUUUAAUGCAGAAAAAUUUCCACUUGAAGCUUUCAGCCAGGUUCUAAAGAUACCAUCAUGCCUCCUGUUGUAUCAUGUUAACUUUUCCUCAUUGUAUUCAUCGGUAGUUGAUUAUUUAUGGAACUGUACUGAUGUUGAUGUUGUACUUUUUACCUGACUGAAUUAUUUCACAAUUUAUAACAUUGUUAGGUGAUGUUGUGUGUGUGUGUGUGUUUCCUAAGUAGGCAAUCCUGUCAUCUGCAAAUACCACCUUCCCUGCCUGGGAUCUGCAAGUACCCGGUCCCUGGCUUAGAGACACGUUUCAACCACUGCCAAACGCUUGCAAACUGGUCCUUAACUCACCUCAGUUCCAGUUUUCCCUUCCCUUCCCAUCAUAACUCCCACACACGGCUUCUGCUUCUUGGCAUCGGAUACUUCUGGUUACCGUAACUCAUUUAUACGUCACUGUGGAGCUGAUGACAGGGUUUAGGACAUCCGCUAAACCCCAGGGACAGAAAAGUGCAGGAAACGGACCUGGCUCUU